GUGGCUGUGGAAGGCCUCUCUGUCAAAUCAGCUUCUAGCUUACCCUUGUCAAGAGCAUCUGCUCUUCAGUUGUUUGUUUAUGCUUACAUUCAACCAUGUGACUCAGCAAUGCUGUUGAGGGAGAACUUUCUGAGGAAGAAAUGCAUGUUCUGCUUUGAAGGAUGGACACUGUGAGUGAUCUGGGGGAGGGCUGCGCUGGCUGAAGUCACAUUGAGCCCUCCAGGCUCAAAGAAGAGGAACUGGAGUGCAGCGGCAUGAUAACAAGAAGGCAGCCCCAUUUUACUCUGAGAGAGUUGAUCUUGUUCUGUUUCUGGGACUCUGAUCUCUUGGUCAAGACUGAAGAAUAUUGACAGGCACACUUACAAACAGCUACAGCAAUAUGAGUGCACUACUUAGGUAUCUACUAUUCUAUCAUACUCCCUGCUGAGAUUUGAGCAGGAAGAUGCAUGAAGUGCAAGCCACAUUCUUAAUCCUGGAUGUCGAUACCAUGGUGAUAGCUGCAAGGAAUGAUCAUAUGUUGAAGGUUAGAAAAAAAUAUUCUGCUUUAUUCAGAAAUGCAAGACCCAUUCACUUCUUUAAACUGUAGUUGUUGGUGCGUUAUGAUUUUUUUUUUUUUAAAUAAUUGCUUUUCUCAGUAUGGAAGUUCAGGGUAGUGAAUGGUAAUUCUAUCUCAGAGUAGAAUGUGAAUUGUUUGGUUCCGAGUGUUCUUCCAACCUUCUCAAUGAAUGAGCACCUGUUUGUGAGAUUUAAGUUUCUUUUGUUUUAUUGGUAUUUUUGUGGUGAAAGGAAUGAGUUUUAACUUUUGAAGCUUCUAAUUACUCUUCAACUUAACUAUGAAAGAACAAUGUAACAUCUUUUGGUUUUAAAGUUUCAGACGCGACCUUUAACCCCAAACAGCAAUGUAAUAAAAUCACUUGCUUAGAUUGAAAAACAAUAAAGAUUCCUCGUUUACCCUGUCUGUGUAAUUGGAACAAUGCCGUUCAUCUUGGAGAGGAAGAGU